UCGAAAUAUAAUUUUACAAAUAUUAAUAUAUCAAGACUGCUGGAUGUAAAGAUUGACAAUGCUUCUUUCACUUUAAACAAAAGGUCUCUGGGGAUUUUCACUCCUAACAACACGGAGCGCAAAACGUAAUUUAACAGAAUACGUUUUCGUGACGCGCCUUAGCGGAUGAAGUUAGACUUGGUAGAGAUAAGGCAAACGCGGGAAUAACCGUCUGCAAAGAGUACUAAUAAGUGAAGAUAAUGAACUAUCCUCUACGAUUAGAAGAUGUUCUACAAGAGUUUAAGAAAUUAUAUGAAAAGAAAUGUAAUAGAACGUUACCAGAGUCGUUCAUAUCAUCAGUUCAAAGAAUGGUUAUAAAGGCGAAUUCAAGUGGAGAUGCUUCUAAAAAUUCUAGGCAGGGAUGAAAUACCAACAGAGCGUUUUCGCGCUGCGGAGGGAUUUUCAUCUCGGAUCCAUUUACAGCAAGGGAAGCAUCCAGUUCUGUAAAGGGAUCCUUGGACAGAAUGGAUUAAUAUGACUGGCCUUUAAGAGUUUAUUAAGUGCUGUUGAGAUAUGAUUUUGUUUCAUUUUAACCUAUUGUGCAUGUGUGUGUGUGUGUGUGUGUGUGUGUGUGUGCAUGUGUGAGUGUCAGUUAGUGAGGAAGCAAGUGAGUGAAUUGAGUGAGUGAAUGAGAGAGAGUGUGUGUGUGUGAAAGUGCUUUUGAGAAUUCAAGAACUAUAUGGUGUUAUGCAUUAAUAAAGAUACUAAAAGAAUGUA